rnacentral:tRNA from 1 species
GGAUUGUGGUUUAGCGGUAGAGUACUUGCCUAGCACGUGUGAGGCCCUGGGUUUGAUCCUCAGCACCA